rnacentral:rRNA from 1 species
GAUGAACGCUGGCGGCGUGCCUAAUACAUGCAAGUCGAGCGAACAGACGAGGAGCUUGCUCCUCUGACGUUAGCGGCGGACGGGUGAGUAACACGUGGAUAACCUACCUAUAAGACUGGGAUAACUUCGGGAAACCGGAGCUAAUACCGGAUAAUAUAUUGAACCGCAUGGUUCAAUAGUGAAAGACGGUUUUGCUGUCACUUAUAGAUGGAUCCGCGCCGCAUUAGCUAGUUGGUAAGGUAACGGCUUACCAAGGCAACGAUGCGUAGCCGACCCGAGAGGGUGAUCGGCCACACUGGAACUGAGACACGGUCCAGACUCCUACGGGAGGCAGCAGUAGGGAAUCUUCCGCAAAGGGCGAAAGCUUGACGGAGCAACGCCGCGUGAGUGAUGAAGGUCUUCGGAUCGUAAAACUCUGUUAUUAGGGAAGAACAAAUGUGUAAGUAACUAUGCACGUCUUGACGGUACCUAAUCAGAAAGCCACGGCUAACUACGUG